rnacentral:rRNA from 1 species
UACGUAGGGUGCGGGCGUGUCCGGAAUUAUUGGGCGUAAAGGGCUCGUAGGCGGUUUGUCGCGUCGGGAGUGAAAACCAGGUGCUUAACACCUGGCUUGCUUUCGAUACGGGCAGACUAGAGGUAUGCAGGGGAGAACGGAAUUCCUGGUGUAGCGGUGAAAUGCGCAGAUAUCAGGAGGAACACCGGUGGCGAAGGCGGUUCUCUGGGCAUGACCUGACGCUGAGGAGCGAAAGUGUGGGGAGCGAACAGG